CACGGGGGGGAGCAAGCGUUGUUCGGAAUCACUGGGCGUAAAGGGCGUGUAGGCGGUUUGGUAAGUGGGAUGUGAAAUGCCUCGGCUCACCCGAGGACCGGCAUCCCAAACUGCCAAGCUUGAGUAUGGGAGAGGAUGUGGGAAUUCCUGGUGUAGCGGUGAAAUGCGUAGAUAUCAGGAGAAACACCGGUGGCGAAGGCGCACAUCUGGCCCAAUACUGACGCUGAGGCGCGAAAGCUAGGGGAGCAAAGCGGG
rnacentral:rRNA from 1 species